AGACACGGGCCAGAAUCCUAACGGAGGCAGCAGUAAGGAAUCUUCCGCAAUGGACGAAAGUCUGACGGAGCGACGCCGCGUGAGCGAAGAAGGGCUUCGGAAUCGAAAGCUCUGUUGUUAGGGAAGAAGAAGCGCCGUUCGAACAGGGCGGCCCGUGGACGUAACCAACGGAGAAACCCCCGCCAAAUAACUGCCCAGAACCCCCGUAAAAACGUAGGGGGCCGGCCUUUUCCCGGAAUAAUGGGGCAUAAGGCGCGCACAGGCGCUCCCCUAAGGUCUAAUGUGAAACCCCACGGCUAAACCUGGGAGGUCAAUGAAAAUGGGGGACCUGAGUGCAAGAAGAGGAGACCGGAAUUCCACGUGUAGCGGUGAAAUGCGUAGAGAUGUGGAGGAACACCAGUGGCGAAGGCGGCUCUCUGGUCUGUAACUGACGCUGAGGCGCGAAAGCGUGGGGAGCAAACAGGAUUAGAUACCCUGGUAGUCCACGCCGUAAAC
rnacentral:rRNA from 1 species